GCCGGGCAUGGUGGCACAUACCUGUAAUCCCAGCAGCUUGGGAGGCUGAGACAGGAGGAUCGUGAGUUCAAAGCCAGCCUCAGCAAAAAAAGCGAGGUCCUAAGCAGCUCAGUGAGACCCUACCUCUA
rnacentral:SRP_RNA from 1 species